rnacentral:rRNA from 1 species
GAUAAACGCUGGCGGCGCACAUAAGACAUGCAAGUCGAACGGACUUAACUCAUUCUUUUAGAUUGAGAGCGGUUAGUGGCGGACUGGUGAGUAACACGUAAGCAACCUGCCUAUCAGAGGGGAAUAAUAGUGAGAAAUAAUUGCUAAUACCGCAUAAGCUAGUAGCAUCGCAUGAGGUAGAUUGAAAAGGAGUAAUCCGCUGAUAGAUGGGCUUGCGUCUGAUUAGCUAGUUGGUGGGGGAACGGCCUACCAAGGCGACGAUCAGUAGCCGGACUGAGAGGUUGAACGGCCACAUUGGGACUGAGAUACGGCCCAGACUCCUACGGGAGGCAGCAGUCGGGAAUAUUGCGCAAUGGAGGAAACUCUGACGCAGUGACGCCGCGUAUAGGAAGAAGGUUUUCGGAUUGUAAACUAUUGUCGUGAGGGAAGAAAUUGACAGUACCUCAGGAGGAAGCUCCGGCUAACUAUGUGCCAGCCGCCGCAGUAA